CGCAGUUAGCUUAGUGGCCGCGGGAGGAACUAGGCAGCAGGUGGUGGAAAGAGCUCGGGAGAGCCCAGAGGACAGGGUUCAGGUUCCAGCUGCUGCUGUCUCCCCGGCGUGGGCAGAUCUUGUUCCCGCUGGCUGUGCAGUGGCCUGCCUGAUGAUUAUGGCAUCUUAAUGAUGACCCCGGAGCCCUGGGAGCGGAACUGCCUGGUCCAGACUGGAGUGGAAGUGACGUGUACUUUUCUCUCCUGGUUCACCCUGGCAUUGGUGGGCCAGAAGACGCGUCUUUACAGAGCCAGCACCUGGGAAGUCAGGAACUGAGGAAAUGUGAGUGGAUGCCCUUCUGAAAGCUGACGUGGAGACUUCAUGGCCUCACGUGGCCUGGAACAAGAAGCUUCCAUUGAAAACAUCAUUUCAGGAAAGCAGCUGUGGCUCACCCGAGAGAGCGUCCGCCUACCACCUGGGAGGUCCAGGGUUCUAUCCCGGGGCCUCCUGACCCCCGUGAUGAGCUGGCCCACGCGCAGUGCUGAUGCGCGCAAGGAGUGCCGUGCCACACAGGGGUGUCCCCGCGUAGGGGAGCCCCACGCGCAAGGAGUGCGCCCCAUAAGGAGAGCCGCCCAGCGUGGAAAAAGUGCAGCCUGCCCAGGAGAGGCACCACACACGGAGAGCUGACACAGCGAGAUGAUGCCACAAAAAAAGCUGUGCUGCUGACAAGAAUGCAAGUGGACACAGAAGAACACACAGAGAAGAGACACAGAGCAGACAACAGGGGGGAAUAAAUAAAAUAAAUCUUUAAAAAAAAACACCUCAUUUCCGUUUGGAAGUCAGUGUCAGGAACAGAACUGAGCGGGGAGACGCCCCAGCGGACACCACGAGGAGGCCUCUGCUCAGGCGCCCAUUGUCCUCCUGGAGCAGCGGGGCCUGGGUGCGGGGGCGAGGACCAGGCCCUGGGAAGGCACGCUGCUCCGCGGGGGUCCAGGAGUCGAGUCAAAUGGCCAGAGCGUUGCUAAGGAGACCCGUUCUCUCCAGCCCGUCAGAUUCUGAGCCCCACGUGGGGCAGUUUUCAUCACUGUGACCACUCUAAUUUUGGCAUUUUCUUCCACUUAAAAAGUCUCUAUAAAUACCAAAACAUGUAAACACCCC
rnacentral:lncRNA from 1 species